rnacentral:rRNA from 1 species
CAGGCCUAACACAUGCAAGUCGAACGGUGGCAGCAAUGCCAUAGUGGCGCACGGGUGCGUAACACGUAACUAACCUGCCCAGACCUGGGGGAUAGCCCGCCGAGAGGCGGAUUAAUACCGCAUGAGAUAAUAAGGUGGCAUCACCUAGUUAUUAAAGAUUUAUCGGGUUUGGAUGGGGUUGCGGGUCAUUAGCUAGUUGGUAAGGUAAUGGCUUACCAAGGCGACGAUGACUAGGGGAGCUGAGAGGCUGGUCCCCCACACGGGCACUGAGAUACGGGCCCGACUCCUACGGGAGGCAGCAGUAGGGAAUAUUGGGCAAUGGGCGAGAGCCUGACCCAGCCAUGCCGCGUGCAGGAAGAAGGCUUUCUGAGUCGUAAACUGCUUUUGAUAGGGAAGAAUAACCAGUACGUGUACUGGGAUGACGGUACCUACAGAAUAAGCACCGGCUAACUCCGUGCCAGCAGCCGCGGUAAU